UUCUUUUGUUUUCGAACAUUGCAGCGUAUAUAUGAUACUUUUAUCUAUACUGUUUUUUCCUUGCUUUGUUUUGAUGAAGUGACGAUAUAGUUGUUUGUUUCCUCCAUCGAGAUUCAUUUCGUACUCUACAUAGAUUUGAAUCUAGACUGGUGAUCAUUCCUCUAAGCUUGGGCAUUAUACUUCCUGAUUUAUUUGUCCCAGUUUUGCAUUUUGGAUUAAUUUUUAUGAAAAUUAUCAAUUAAUUGAAGCUACAGUUAUUUGUUAUCUAAACAGAUUGCAGAGUUUUUCUGAUAUCUAAAGUUGCAUUUUCCAUCCUUUUUUUCCCCAAGGGAACGGCUUUUUUAUUGCUACCGGAAGAAAAUUACAAUUGAGGAAGGAGGGCAAACCUAUCCUUCCUAAGAGAUUUGUUACAUUAGUAAACCAAACAUAUGGAUGAGCAAAAAAAUAAAAUAAAAAAUUUAGCAACUAAACAUCCAACAACUCUAAAGGGGAGAGAGGAUCAUGGGGGAUUAUAGAUCCAAAAACUCGAGUUACAUUUCUUGGCUCUAAACGAAGGAAAUUUCCAUCUGUCCAUGUUGAGAAGACCUUUAACUAUUCCUGGAAUGGCAUUGAAUUGGGAAUAUAUUUGUGCAUUGGUAGGAUUAUGGCUUAGGGAUGCUAGUCUGUCCGCAACUUUGUAAUCCUCCCUCCAAGUUGCAUUUUCUAUCUUGCUAUCAUAUAAGAAGAGUGUUGACUUGUUGGAGGAUCUCUGUGACAUGAUCAAACAGAUUAUACCAUUGGUGACUACAGGGAAAGUUGGUGGCUAGCUGAUUAUCUAUUCUUUCCCAGAGAAAUUAUGGUCCAUAUGGAUAAUAUGGCUGUGUCAAUCAAAUUAUGCAAGUUGAGGUGAUAUGAAGUCGAAUCAUGACAAAUACAAGCAUAUGAAUGGGGAUAGCGUAUUAUGUUUGAAGUACUCCCUUAAGCUAAAGGUGAUAACCAGACUAAACUUUCCUCAUUAAUUUGUCUCGAGUUAAUUAACGAAUCAGAAUAUUAGGGAAUGCCCAUCUUACUCUUGCGAUAAGAUAUAUGGCCACUAAAGUUAAGGUAUUAAAUACAAAAGAGAAAAGCACUCCAACUUUGUUUCUUAAAUUUCUGAUUUGUACCUCUCCUUUAUCAUUACUCUUUCUCCAACCUAUUAGUUUUAGCCACCCUUUUGUGUCCCUUGCCCUUGGUCAUGUUUUCACCCUUAUACAAUUCAACUUAGCCCCCCCCCCUCCCCCCUCCCCCCACCCCCCAACCAUUUUGGGGGAUAGGAGAGAGUAAAAUUUUACUGUCAAGAACAGCAUUACUUGGUACUAACUCAUUUAAAAUUUCUCUGGACCAGCUCAUGUAGACAGUUUAGGAGUCUAGAAAGUUUAAUCCAUUUGCAAAUUCACCUACAAUAGUCCUACUGCCCAGGAGUUCACAUUUUGUAGACAUCUAAAUUAUACAAAAUAUAAGGACAAACCUCUAUUCUCAAUAUCUCAGCUUUUACAGAAUCCUUCUUCCUUUCCAUUAGUCAAUACAGUUGCACAGGCUGGUAGAACGUUUGCUUUCCAGCAAAAAUGAAGAAUGCAGACAAUAGAGAGACUUUGAUGAUUGAACUUACAUUUCUCUUCCAUAUAUUAGUCUUAAGUUAGCUUUGUAACUAGAUCACUAUGAACAAGCAGAUUGGAAGAAAUAGAUUUUAGCUGCGAACAAACGUAGCAGCUCGGUCUUAGAUGACAAAAAUCUAAUGGAACCCACAUAUAUACAUAUAUAUGAUUUGAGGGAUGAGAGACGAAAUUGAGUGGAAGGACCAAAAAGUGAUCAAAGUUGGUAAAUUAAACAUCAAUGAGUUUUGCAGAGCACAAGUUCUAGUGAGAAAUCAGAUCUUCUCUCUCUAACUAGCUUCUUUCUCUAAGAAGCGAAUUUUUCAAAAUCUCCCAUUUGCUUAUGUCUGCUUCUUUGUUCUAUAUCCUUAGAUAAUAAUUAGAAUCAGAGUAACUCAGCCAUGAAAGUAUUUGCUCUUCAAUGACUCUUCGAUAACACCAAACUGUCAAUGGAACUGUCUGGUAACCUUAUUUUUUUGGUGUAAACAGAACUGCAUAGAGGAAAUAGAGGAGUUUGUAGAAUUUCUAGUAGCUUUGUAAAGCUGGAGUCUACUUUCUUCAUAACAAUUUUUGAUGGUGGCUAGCAUUCUCAAUGCUGAAGAUAACAGUACUAUCAAAACUAAGUUGAAGUUGCUGCAGAUGUGACUAAGAAGCAACAAUGUGCCAAUGGCUCCAUAGAAGCACCCUAGAGAGAUAUUUUGGAAAGAUGAUAAUGCCCAACUUCAUUUCUGACAGAAUGUACUUGAAUAUAUACACAUUACCAGUUCCUUAUACAAUUGUCAAUUAGCUGUCACUAAUCUAAUCCACUAACUACUUAACUAACUGUGUAACAAACUAACGCUAGCAGUCUAGCACUAACUAGUUAUGCUGACUCAGCAUGUAUAUACAGAUAAGUAAAUUUCAAUACCUCCCCUCAAGUUGGAGGUGUGCUCUUCACAUCUAACUUGCCAAGUACAACUGAAUGUCUGAGGCCUGUUAAGGCCUUAGUAAAAACAUUUGCUAGUUGAUCAGUUGUGGCCACAUGAUGCAAGGGCACAAGACCCUCAUGAAGGUUAUUGCGCACAAAAUGAUAGUCCACUUAUAUGUUCUUAGUCCUCUCAUGGAACACAAGGUUCCUGGCGAUGUGAAUGGCAGACUGGCUGUCACAAUAUACUACAUAUGGUUUAGGAGAUGACACAGUCAGUUCUUCAAAAACUCUGCUCAACUAAACCUACUCAUGUACAAGCUUACUGAAGGACCUGAAUCUGCCUUGGCUGAAGAUAAGUAGACAAUUUCUUGUCUUGGAUCUCCCGCUGACAGGGCUAUUGCCAACCAAGACAAUGUAACCUGAAAUAGAUCUUCUGGAAUUUGGAUAAGCUGCCACUCAGAAUCACAGCCUGACAGUGCAAUCUAGACUAAUUGAAAGGAGGAUCCCUCAGCAAAUGAAAAGCUGCUUGUAAGUGAGGUUCUCUGGGAUCCUGCAUAAACUGGCUCAAAUGUUGUCCACCAUAAGAUAUAUCUAACCUGGUGUUUGUGAGGAAAUUAAGCUUCCCCACCAAUUUCCUAUAGUUAGCAGGAUCUGAAAUAGGUGACCUCCUUAGCCUUUGUUUCAGUUUGGGAUCAAGAGGAGAAUUGAUACAGGGACAGUCAAUACAAUCAUAUUCUUUCAGAAGAUCUAAAGCAAACUUUCUCUGGGAAAUGAUGGUCCCAUCAUCUGUAUACAACACUUCUAAUCCCAAAAAGUAGCAAAGUCUGCCCAAAUCCUAAGUUUUGUACAGAUCAUUUAAGAAUUCUUUUGAAGCUAUGAUCUCCUAACAUUAUUUACAUAAACGGCCACAAAAGCAAUGAUGGAUGUCUUGGACUUCUUGUGAAAUAGAGAGUAUUUAUUGACUGUGUGAACAUAUCCUCUGGAGUAUAAGUCUUCCGUGAGUUUCUCAUACCAUUGUCUACUAGCCUUCUUUAAACCAUAUAAGGAUUUGUUUAACCUGCAUACCAUGCCUGUAGUGUCAAGAACAAGGCCAUAGGUGCUUCCAUAUACACUUGUACAUGUAAGUCCCCAUGAAAAAGAACAUUGUAUACAUCAAGUUGAGAGAUUUCCCAACCCUUUUUUACAACAAUGGCAAUCAAAGACCUGGCAUCUGUCAUCUUUACAACCAUGGAAAAAAGUUUGUGUAGUCUAUCCCUGCUUGUUGAGUGUAUCCCUUUACUACUAAAUUAGCCUUAGACCUCUCAUGGUGCCAUCUGCUUUAUGUUUCACUUUGUAGAUCCACCUGCAACCUAUGGCUUUCUUGCCUGUUGGUAGGAGAACUAAGUCCCAAGUGUGAUUUGCAUACAAGGCUUUAAACUCCUGAGUCAUGGCUGUUUGUCAAGCAGGAUUAAGAGCUGCUACCUUAUAAGAAGAAGGUUCACUAUGGUGGCGCACAUUUUGUAACAAAACUUGACUAUCAGAUGUUAAGCCAUUAGGGUUGAGGUUCUAAUUUUGUAAAAACAGAGCACUUAAGGAGAGGGAUAUGGUGUGCUGGUUGGUAGUUUUGGUAGGGCAAUGAUAGUUAAGCAGGGGUUGUAUGAUUUCUACUAGACUUUCUUAGGACAUGCGUUUCAUUAAUGAGGUUUGGAAUGUGGUCUUGGGUGUCCCAGUGGAAUGUACCACAUUGUCAUAUGAAUGUACAGUGUGAAGAAUUAGUGUUUGUGAUACUUAGACUUUCUUGGUCACUUGAAUGAGGUGCAAGCACAAACAUAUCAUCAUUAUUAAUAGGAUGGGAAGGAGGAUUUGAAUGAUGAACAAGAAUUGAACUCAAGGACUUGGAAAUCAAAUUAAAUAAAGCUUCCGCGAGCAAAUGCAAAUGGAAAAACAUUCUCAUGAAACAUCACAUCUCUCGAAAUAUUUGUCCUUUUAGUAUCUAGGCUCAGUGUCUUGUAUCAUUUUGUUCAAAUGGGUAACCAACGAAAAUGUGAGGUGUUGUCGUAGGUUCGAAUCUGUUUUUGUGGACUUUUGGUAUUGUUGGGUAGCAAAGGCAUCCAAAACUUUUCAAAGAGGAAUAAAGAGGUUUUCUCCCAUAGAUGACUUGAAAGGGACAUUUAUCCUUCAGAUGGGUAGUAGGAAGUCUAUUUAUGUAUGAGUGGCUAUCAAAAUGCACUCUCCCCAAUAAGGCUAAAUGUGAUUGGAACAUUAGGGCCUUGUGUUAUGAAUCUUUAUGGAAGUAUUGAUUCACAUGGUGAUAUAUAAAUUCAGCUUGUUAAAGGGAGACUGAAACCUUAGAGUUCAUUAAAAAACAGAGCUUUGAUCUCUUCAGCUCUCAAAGGGAGACUGAAACCUUAGAGUUCAAUGGAAGAGAACUCUAGUCUCUUGCUUUUUGCUGAAAUAUGAUUUUCUGAUUUAUUCAUCGAAAUUCUUUUUAAGUCGGAGUCUUAUUACAUCAAUAUGAAGCAUAAUUCUUAUGAAAGUAGGAGACCUAGCCUAUUCCAAACUCAUAACUAAAGCUGAACCUAAUCCUUAUGAAACUUUGAAACAUAAACUCCAUUCUAGAAUAAUAAAUAAAGUUACUUAAAUAACAAAUAAAUCUACUUAAAAAUAUAAUUAAAUACUUAAAUUAAUUGACUUCCUCGCAUCCACAACACCUUGGCUGUCUCAAGCAAGUAUUUAUUUACUUUCACUCACACUAUUUUGUUGUGGGGCGUAAGGACAAGACCUUUGAUGGACAAUGCAUUUUGAUAAAAAGAAAGAAGUAGCUUCAUUGUCUACAAAUUCAAGACCAUUGUCUGAUCUGAUAUUUUUCAAGGUGGUGCUAAACUGAUUUUCAAUCAUGUAAAGGGAAGUCUUGAUCACUUGUAGAGCAUUGCUCUUACAACUUAACAAUUGUGUCCAUGUCGAUCUGCUAUGGUCAUCCACCAUGGUGAUGGAAUCUUUGUAGUUAUCAUGAGUAGGCACAUGGUAAAUUUUACAGUAUUUUAGUGCAAACCAUCUCCAACCCACUACACUAAAUUGUACACUAAAAAGGAAUAUUUUCUUUAUAUUCUUCUUUCAUUAUUAUUAUAUUGUUAUACUUUUAUUAUAUAUUUUCAAAAGUUUUAUAUAGUAUGAAUAAUAAUAAAAUAAUCAAAAAAAGAUACAAAAAUUUGGUGCAACACUAUUUACACACUAAAAUAGCGUAAGAAUUAGUGUUGGGUCGUAGCACCAAAACACCGAAUUUUACACCAAAAUAUGGUUGUGUUUGGGUUGGAGAUGGUCUUAUACAAUUGUCAAUUAGCUGUCACUAAUCUAAUUCAAUAGUUAGUUAAUUGUGUAACAGACAAACAUUAGUACUAACUAGUUCUAGCUAUAACUACUUAUGCUGACUCAACAUGUAUAUACAGAUAAGUAAAUCUCAAUGAUACCAAUUCUGAAAAAAUCACACCAAACUGUCAAUAGUAGUAUCUCUUUGCAGUGAUGUAGCUACCUUUGAUAUUCAAGGUUUUCCUAUUUCUGCAACUAAUAUCUUGUUGUCCAAGCAUUACAAAACCCAAUUGAACAAUUGUCCUAGCCAUGCUUAGGAUUCACUCUGAUGUAGCCCUGGAUCCAUCUAGUCCAUAUGGGCUCUUUCCUUGUUUAACUCAACUCUAUCGUCAAAAUUUCCUUUGAAGAUGGAUAGUCCUUUGUAAGGUAUUGAUGCGAUUUCUAUAGGAAAGCUAGAUGAGUGAGUGUAGCGUGCAUAGUGUGAUCUGUAGAAUAAUAUAUAUUUUGGAGUCAGGUAUUAUAUACUCCUUUCGUCCUGAUUUAUGUGAAAAUAUUUUAUUAGGCACACAGUUCAAGAGAAAAGGGAAGUUUUUUGAAAUUUGUGGUCUAAAACUAGUCAUCGAAAUUUCUACGCUAUAAACCUUCUCAUUAGGGGUAAUAUUGUAAGUUUAAAGUAAAAUUAAUAUUCAAUAUAGAAAAAUGUCAUUAUUUUUGGGAUUGACUAAAAUAGGAUAGAGUGUCACAUAUAUUGGGAUAUCCAGAGUAAUGAGCACUAGUGAUUUAAAAUUCUCAAUGUAGGAGUGAUUUCCAUGUCUUUAUCCAAUGGAUGUAUCUUUCAAAGAUCGGUUGAAAAUUGGGAUUAGGAUGAAGUGGAGCACCUUCUUUUGAAAGUUUAUAGUGCUGACAUCAUGUAGUUAUAAAAUGGUAUGGAAGGACAUGCCAUAAGAUCUCAAGUCUCAUUUGUUUGUACUUAAUGGAGGUUUGAAUAUGAAUGGUUCACACCUUAGGCCAUUAAGUGCAUUUGUUUUAGUAGGAUUUAAGCAUUUAAUUAGGUUUUUUUUUGGAUCGACUUUCUUUAAGUAACUUAUAAGCUAAAAGCUAAAAGCCAUAAGUUGGUCAUACCCAAGUUUAUACUUUUUAGCUUAUUUUUGUACUUUUUUGGCCUAAAAGUAGGUGCUUAAAAAAUUGUCUUUCCCAAACACAUCCAAAUAUAAAAGAGCUCAAAAGCCAAAACCUAUUUAAAAUAAGUCAAUUUAAACACCACCCCCUGGGUCUUUAUCAACCACAAUCGCCAUCACCAUUGUCAACCACCAUUAUCUCGUCAACCAUCUCUGUCAUCACAACCACCACUAACAAGUAACAACCACCGUCAUUGCCAACCACUACUGUAAGCCAUUACCACACAAACCUAUCACUUCCAUCAUUAUAAUUAUAUCCAUUGCCGCCACCUUCGUGACCAUCGCCACCUAUACCACCACUACGUCCAAUCCCUACUACCAACUAACUUUGCCAUCUUAGCUAGUAUGGUAGUACCGCAGCCAAAUACCACUAUCACAUCAUCAGCCACCACACAUUCUUUGAUCACCAACAUAGUCGCUGUCGCCACCACCUCCACCACCACUUUCAAAUACUACCACCACUGUGAUCAAUCCCUGAUGUCAACCACAUCCACCAUCACAACUAGCACCGCUUCCAACUGCCACUUCAUUGCCAAUCACCACAUUUUUAGGCUUUACCAUCAACACCACCAACCAAUUUCACCAUCAUAACCAUUGCCUAAUUGAUUAAGGAGAGAAAAUAGUUGAAUGAAGAUGAGAAUGAAAA